AAAUUGAAGAGUUUGAUCAUGGCUCAGAUUGAACGCUGGCGGCAGGCCUAACACAUGCAAGUCGAGCGGUAGCACAGAGAGCUUGCUCUCGGGUGACGAGCGGCGGACGGGUGAGUAAUGUCUGGGAAACUGCCUGAUGGAGGGGGAUAACUACUGGAAACGGUAGCUAAUACCGCAUAACGUCGCAAGACCAAAGUGGGGGACCUUCGGGCCUCAUGCCAUCAGAUGUGCCCAGAUGGGAUUAGCUAGUAGGUGGGGUAACGGCUCACCUAGGCGACGAUCCCUAGCUGGUCUGAGAGGAUGACCAGCCACACUGGAACUGAGACACGGUCCAGACUCCUACGGGAGGCAGCAGUGGGGAAUAUUGCACAAUGGGCGCAAGCCUGAUGCAGCCAUGCCGCGUGUGUGAAGAAGGCCUUCGGGUUGUAAAGCACUUUCAGCGGGGAGGAAGGCGGUGAGGUUAAUAACCUCAUCGAUUGACGUUACCCGCAGAAGAAGCACCGGCUAACUCCGUGCCAGCAGCCGCGGUAAUACGGAGGGUGCAAGCGUUAAUCGGAAUUACUGGGCGUAAAGCGCACGCAGGCGGUCUGUCAAGUCGGAUGUGAAAUCCCCGGGCUCAACCUGGGAACUGCAUUCGAAACUGGCAGGCUAGAGUCUUGUAGAGGGGGGGUAGAAUUCCAGGUGUAGCGGUGAAAUGCGUAGAGAUCUGGAGGAAUACCGGUGGCGAAGGCGGCCCCCUGGACAAAGACUGACGCUCAGGUGCGAAAGCGUGGGGAGCAAACAGGAUUAGAUACCCUGGUAGUCCACGCCGUAAACGAUGUCGAUUUGGAGGUUGUGCCCUUGAGGCGUGGCUUCCGGAGCUAACGCGUUAAAUCGACCGCCUGGGGAGUACGGCCGCAAGGUUAAAACUCAAAUGAAUUGACGGGGGCCCGCACAAGCGGUGGAGCAUGUGGUUUAAUUCGAUGCAACGCGAAGAACCUUACCUGGUCUUGACAUCCACAGAACUUUCCAGAGAUGGAUUGGUGCCUUCGGGAACUGUGAGACAGGUGCUGCAUGGCUGUCGUCAGCUCGUGUUGUGAAAUGUUGGGUUAAGUCCCGCAACGAGCGCAACCCUUAUCCUUUGUUGCCAGCGGUCCGGCCGGGAACUCAAAGGAGACUGCCAGUGAUAAACUGGAGGAAGGUGGGGAUGACGUCAAGUCAUCAUGGCCCUUACGACCAGGGCUACACACGUGCUACAAUGGCAUAUACAAAGAGAAGCGACCUCGCGAGAGCAAGCGGACCUCAUAAAGUAUGUCGUAGUCCGGAUUGGAGUCUGCAACUCGACUCCAUGAAGUCGGAAUCGCUAGUAAUCGUAGAUCAGAAUGCUACGGUGAAUACGUUCCCGGGCCUUGUACACACCGCCCGUCACACCAUGGGAGUGGGUUGCAAAAGAAGUAGGUAGCUUAACCUUCGGGAGGGCGCUUACCACUUUGUGAUUCAUGACUGGGGUGAAGUCGUAACAAGGUAACCGUAGGGGAACCUGCGGUUGGAUCACCUCCUUACCUUAAAGAA
rnacentral:rRNA from 1 species